GUUGAUGAGAGUGUGGAAGACAUUGUGGGGCAGGAGGAGCUGUCGGAAGACAUUCAAAGCAUCAAAAGCUGUUGGAACUGGUGAAGGACAAUGUGGUCAAAGCUCAGGAAAAAACAAAGGGCAAAAUAAAAAUGAUGACGAGAGAUGUCGUCUUCAAAGUUGGUGACAAAGUUUUAAGAGCUAACAUAAGAAGUCAGCAGAGGAAAGGGGGAAAACUUGAAGCAAACUUUUUAGGCCCUUACAUUAUUACAGCAAUCCAAGGUAAAAGUGCAGAUCUUCAGGAUUCCAAUGGGACAAUCAUUCCAAAAGUAAAUAUUGACCAACUAAAGUUAAGCAAAGACAGCAUGCCAAGAGUGCCACACCGGGGUUCAAAGAAACAGCAGCCACAUUACCAACAGCACAACCAGGUCCAGCAGCACCACAAGCUGCAGCAGCACCAGCAUCUGCUCUAGCUUCACAGGCUACAGCAGCACCAGUGGCGGUAGCACCACCACCACCUCCUCCUAGAGCUACACAGCCUACAGCACCAAUGGCAUCACUUACAUCACUAUCGGUUCAAACACAACAUCCAUCUCCAGUUCCACAAGGUAUAGCAAUAACGGUAUCAGAUCCAGAGUCAGGAGCAACAGCACAGAAAGAGAACGAACCAGCCACAAGUGCUACAGCACCAGAAUAUGCUACAGCUGUACAAACCGAAUCCCAAACAGCAGCAGACCCAGCCUCAAAGACCAUAACAGCAGACCAGGCCUCACAAACCACAACAGCAGACCCAGCCUCACAAACCACAACAGCAGACCAGGCCUCACAAACCACAACGGCAGCAGACCCAUCCUCACAGACCACAGCUCCAAAUGCUACAACCACACAAGCCUCAGCUCCACAGAUUACAGCCCAGCAAUCUACAGCACAAACCAUGGAAGCAACAGUUCCACUUGUGACACCAGCCCCAGCAACAGCCACACAAGCUAGCCCUGCACCACCUCCAGCAUCACCCUCUCAGAGAUACACUGAACCUGUUGCAGAGAAAUAUAUAAUGGAUGCCUGGGCUGGAAAGAGUCCUCACGUUCUACUCUCCAAAAUUGGUGCUUACAAAUUAUUCUACUGGGAUAUCCAACAAAUUGGUCCGGACAUGGAGUUGGAAAGUGAGGUACAGUGA
rnacentral:lncRNA from 1 species